GACAGAGGUGCCGAGCGUUAGGCGGAAUCACUGGGCUUAAAGCGUGUGUAGGCGGAUCGUUAAGUACCUUGUGAAAUCCCCACGGCUCAACCGUGGAACGGCUGGGUAUACUGGCGAUCUUGAGCGAUUCAGGGGCAGAUGGAACAAGUGGUGGAGCGGUGAAAUGCGUAGAUAUCAGGAGGAACACCGGUGGCGAAGGCGGGUCUCUGGGCCGUAACUGACGCUGAGGAGCGAAAGCGUGGGGAGCGAACAGG
rnacentral:rRNA from 1 species